rnacentral:rRNA from 1 species
GGUGAACGCUGGCGGCGUGCUUAAGACAUGCAAGUCGAACGGCAGUCUUCGGACUGUAGUGGCGCACGGGUGAGUAACGCGUAACUGACCUACCCCAAAGUCGCGGAUAACGAUUCGAAAGAAUCGCUAAUACGUGAUGUGCUGUCAGAUUGUGUUCUGCCAGUAAAGAUUGAUUGCUUUGGGAUGGGGUUGCGUUCCAUCAGCUAGCUGGUGGGGUAAAGGCCCACCAAGGCGACGACGGAUAGCCGGCCUGAGAGGGUGGCCGGCCACAGGGGCAGUGAGACACGGGUCCCACUCCUACGGGAGGCAGCAGUUAGGAAUCUUCCACAAUGGGCGAAAGCCUGAUGGAGCGACGCCGCGUGAGGGAUGAAGGUCUUCGGAUCGUAAACCUCAGAAUCAGGGACGAAAGACACUUCGGUGGGAUGACGGUACCUGAGUAAUAGCACCGGCUAACUCCGUGCCAGCCGCCGCCGUAACAC